GUGGGGAAUCUUCCGCAAUGGACGAAAGUCUGACGGAGCGACGCCGCGUGAGUGAAGAAGGCCUUCGGGUCGUAAAGCUCUGUCAUCAGGGACGAACGGCCGGUGGAGUGGAAAGCCACCGGAUUGACGGUACCUGAGAAGGAAGCCACGGCUAACUACGUGCCAGCAGCCGCGGUAAUACGUAGGUGGCAAGCGUUGUCCGGAAUUAUUGGGCGUAAAGCGCGCGCAGGUGGGAUCUGAAGUCCUUUUUGAAAGUUCGGAGCUCAACUCCGUGAUGGGAGGGAAACUGGGAUUCUUGAGUACCGGAGAGGAAAGCGGAAUUCCCCGUGUAGCGGUGAAAUGCGUAGAUAUGGGGAGGAACACCAGUGGCGAAGGCGGCUUUCUGGACGGUGUCUGACACUGAGGCGCGAAAGCUAGGGGAGCGAACGGGAUUAGAAACCCCAGUAGCC
rnacentral:rRNA from 1 species